rnacentral:tRNA from 1 species
GCCAGAGUGGUGGAAUUGGUAGACACAGGGGACUUAAAAUCCCCCGGGAUAAUAUCCUGUACGAGUUCAAGUCUCGUCUCUGGUA